ACAGCAAUGCAGGAUCCGAGCCGUGUCUGCGACCUACACACACAGCUCACGGCAACAACGGAUCCUUAACCCACUGAGCGAGGCCAGGGAGCGAACCUAGAACCUCAUGGCUCCUAGUCGGAUUCGUUAACCACUGUGCCAUGACGGGAACUCCCAACUUCCUUUAGGUUUAGAAGAGAAAUGAUGCAAGAGGGAAGGAAAUGCACAGAGGGUGACUUCAGGAUGGGGCAGAAGAGAGGAUAGGAAUGAGUUAAUGAUCUUUGUGAAGAAUGAAAAUAAAUGAAAAAGUAGAAAUAUUAAUACAAGGCUAUGAUAAAAGAGGAAAAGUUUAGAAGGAAGAAUUUGCUUAAGUCACUGCCAGGGAGAAACGGAGAGGAAAGUAUAUGAGAGCAAAGUGACACAGAAAGAAAAGGAUCAGUGUGAGAGGUGAGGAGAGAAUAUUUAGAAGAGUGAAAUAGCUCAAAAUUCUAUUGCCUCCUUAGCCCCUAGGAAGAAGGAACUGCAUUUCACUCAGGCCGAGUCAUAGCAUUUGGGGAUGAACUUGCACAGGCAAUGUACGGGAAAGAUGCUUGGUGGGCAAGGUCACCAUCAACGUGUUUCCCCUUAGAAACCUGAGUGCAAAACCAACCCCCUUCAAAACAAAAGGCAGUUCUGAGAGAACUGAGGAUAAAACUUGCAGCAGUAAGAAGUGAUGGGUGGCUAUCCACCUAUGCCAAGUAGGAGAACAAUGCGGCUCAAAGACUCCUAACUUUGAGAAUUUCCCAGGAGAGAAUGCAAGCAGCAAACAUACCCUCAGGAAGAUCAACUUCCACACUGUGGUCCAUUAUGAGUAAAGAAAUGCAAUGGAUGACAUGUAAGGAUGCAAGGGGCUGCAUUCAGUGAAAAAAAGUCAAUUUCCCCUCAUGGUAAUGACAUCUCAUUUUUCUCUCCUGAGUUUUAUUCAGCUUCUGCUUCGUAAUAUGGUUUCUCUUUCCUGUGCUAUUGCCCUUGGAAAUAACUCAAAAGACAGUCGAUUUUGUAAAAGCACCUUCCAUGGAUUUUCUCAGUGAAAUCAUAAAGCUGUCAUCACUGAGGAGAGAGAAAUGUUCCCUGAAAAGGGGAAGGCUUCUUCUCUUCCAUUAGCAUAACUCCCACUACUCUUGGAGUCUGUAAAUCCUCUGAUCACCACAGUUUAAAAAGUGAAUUGGGGGAGUUCCCAUCAUGGCGCAGUGGUUAACGAAUCCGAGUAGGAACCAUGAGGUUGAGGGUUCGGUCCCUGCCCUUGCUCAGUGGGUUAACGAUCCGGCGUUGCCGUGAGCUGUGGUGUAGGUUGCAGACGCGGCUCGGAUCCCGUGUUGCUGUGGCUCUGGCAUAGGCUGGUGGCUACGGCUCCGAUUCGACCCCUAGCCCCGGAACCUCCAUAUGCCGUGGGAGCGGCCCAAGAAAUAGCAAAAAAAGACAAAAAAAAAAAAAAAAAAUGGCAAGAUACCAGUCUGUCUGCACCUGCACCUAGGGCUACCACCGCAGAGUUAAAUCCAGACAAAUGCCAUUGUGAUUUAAGGCAGUGACUGGGAGCUCCGAUAGGCAGUUCUGAAAGGGAGAGUGGUACCCUGCUUUUCUGCAUCAACUGAUGAGAGGUCCACUGUGCUUGGCAACAGGGUCCAUACCCUUGGGCAGCCUGCAUCAUUUAAGUUGUUAACCAUGAUUACCUACCAUAUGCUUUUCAGAUUUUAUCUUAGUGGCUAAGACUAUAAAACUUAUACUAAGAAAAGAAAUUGGUCUUUAAGAAUUUAUUGUAUAAUUCAAUCUGACAGUGAAAUGAACACAAUUUGAUGAUCAGUGAGGAUGGAGAGAGUAAACAGGUCCCCUCUGAAAUUCAAAGCUCUUUGUAUCAGCUCCAGCUGAUAAAAAAGGGAAAACAUUUCCCAGGACUCUUGCCUAACAUGGUAAUACAAAACACUCUCUGGGAAAUGUACUGUAUGUCUUUUACAAAGGAUUUGGUAAACUGACUCAUGGUUUUGAAGGGAGUGUGAUGAUGAAGAUGCUGGCCCUGUGUUUUUUUUUUAAGUACUUAUUCUUUCCAUUUCCCCCACUAUAGCCAAUUGAAUAAGUGAUAAGCAAAUAUGUACCCAAAUUCACCUGCAGGAUGUGCUUUAAGGAAAGUGUUCUCUGAAUUUGCUGCCAUGUGUUAGGCUUUAUGUUUAUCACAACAGACCACCAAAAUGGGCUGGCACAGGAGUUCCUGCUGUGCCUCAGUGGGUUAAGAACCUGACAAGUAUCCAUGAGGAUGCAAUCCCUGGCCUCACUCAAUGGGUUAAGGAUCUGGCGAUGCUGUGAGCUGUGGUGUGGCUUGUAGACGUGGCUCAGAUCUGGCGUUGCUGUGGCUACAGCUCUGAUUGGACCUCUAGCCUGGGAACUUCCAUAUGCCAUGGGUGCAGCUCUAAAAAGAUUAAAAAAGAAAAAAAAAAAGACCCAGCACAAAGGAUACUUACCCAACCUCAAAUUGGCAAGAAGGUAAAACCUUCUGUCCCUGUGCAUUAGGAAAAUACAGCUUUCCAUCCUGUCACCCUAUGAAGGAAGUGUCUAAAAAUGUCUUUACACAGUGAUAUGAGGAAAUUUUUUUUCUUUUUAGGACCACACUAGCAGCACAUGAAAAUUCCCAGGCUAGAUAUCGAAGUGGAGCUGCAGCUGUUGGCCUGUGCCACAGCCAUGACAAUGUCAGAUCCAAGCUGCAACUGAGGCCUAAGCUGCAGCUGCGACAAUGUCAGAUCUUUAACCCACUGAAUGAGGCCAGGGAUUGAACCCACAUCCUCAUGGACACUAUGUCAGGUUUUUAACUUGCUGAGCCACAAUGGGAACUCCUGAUAUGAAGAACUUAAUGUGUCACCUUUCCCUUCUCAGGGAUAUCUGUCUUGUAGAAAUAAUGGGAAGAAUGUGUCCAGAUAUAGCAUGGAUCAUAGGUUACACACAGGGGAUUUGAGGUUUCCUUAGAGGAGGUAUUUUUCUGUGGGACAGCUUCCCUGUGCCUCUCAAUCAAACCUCAAAUUAAGAUUUAGAACUGAUGACAUGUGCCAUUUAUUCAUGUAGAAUGCCAUUUACUCAUUUAUUCAUGUAGAACAAGUCCUGGGAUCCUCAGUUCCCCACAAGGCACUGCUGUACUGCCGCUAACAGACAACAGAGGGCACUGCUGAGCUGCUGGAUGGGAUCUCCAGCAUGCAAUUCAUAGGUGGGGAAAUGUUUUGAACUGCUUUACCCCGUGUGGGUUUUCAGCUCCUGUUGUAUUUCUUGCUUAAUGAGCUGUGUUAAUUUUUUGCCGUAUUCUCAGCCCAUCAGUAGGAAAGAAGUUUCAAAAUGAUGAUAUCGUGUGGUUCAGAAUCAUAUUUUUUCUUUAGCAUGUGCUUAAUGCUUAUUAGCUGAAGGAGAGAGAUCGAAAACUUUUAAGGUUUCUAUUUACCCUGGGAUCUACUGAUGGUCUCAGCAAUGUCAGACUGUCUAAUUUCAAAGCUGCCUGGCUUUAUCCACACCCAAACCUCUAUAAAAAUCUCACUUAAUAGAAAUGACCCAGUGUUUCUCACUUUUAGAAAUGUCAGGGGUUCAUUACAGGGAAGAGGAAAAACUAGAUCUAUUUUUAUAGGAUGGAGAGCCACAAUGUACAAGAACAGCAGACCAGCCUGCUUCACCAGGUAGAUCUGGGGCAGCAUGCAUGUGUGUCCUUGUCCCAGGAUGAGCUCAGUGCACAGGUGUCAUACAAACAUGGAAGGGGCGGUACUAUCAGCUUGGAAAAAUACUACAAAAUAUUUGUCUGGAGAGCUUCCAGAAUGCUGAGUUGAGAUGCAGAGGACUGGAGAAGUCAUUCUUUAUAACACUCCAGGUUCUACUCUUUUGAAUCCCAUUUGUGUAAGGAAUGAGACCCAUUAACUGUCACCUAGUAAUGCAAUUUGUAAAAGCUCAUUAUCGACACGCUUCCGCUUUAACGCUUGGCAGUAUGGAUUUUCUAUGAGCCUAGAACCAAGGCUCAGUUACUGAAAAGAAAACCUAGUUAAUCUGUUUAUGGUUAUGAGGAAAGAAACAAGGAAGAAUAAAUAUCUAGAUUCAUACAAGGCACAUUUCUAUAGUGUCCUCUCUCUCUCUCUUUGUCUUUGUAGGGUUGCACCCUCGGCAUAUGGAGGUUCCCAGGCUAGGGGUCAAAUUGGAGCUGCAGCCGCCGGCCUACAUCACAGCCACAGCAACACCAAAUCCUUAAUCCACUGAGAGAGGCCAAGGAUCGAACCUGAGUCCUCAGGGAUACUAGCCGGGUUCGCUACCCCUGAGCCACAAUGGGAACUCUAUGUUUCUAUGGUUUUCUUUGGAAACACUAAUGAAGCAAUCCUGGCCCUGUCUACCUUCAGGGGGAUGCGAAACAGGGUGCUUGACAGCACCAACUUUGAUGGAAGUUCUGAGGCAAACUACUCAACUUCUCUAAGCCUCAGUUUCCCCAGAUCCAAAUGGAAACAACAGUAAUAAGUAUUUGAGAAAACUGCCUGGCUCAGACAUAGUAAAAGGCCAAUGAAUGUUAGUUAUUAUUAGACAAACUAGCCAUUUAAAUGUCCAUGGGUCCCCAUUUCCUCAUCAGUACUAUAUUAGUGCUUCCGGAACUUUUCCCACGAAACUACCCCUUAUAGCAUCAGAUCAGAAUAUAUUCCCAGAAGUUGGGAGUCCUCACCUGCAAAUCCCUUCCAUUUGUCUUUCAGUUUUACAGUUGAUAUAUUUUUUCUUACAAAUUUUUUCUUUUUAGGGCUGUACCUGCAACGUAUGGAUGUUCCCAGGCUAGGGGUCGAAUCAGAGCUGCAGCUGCCAGCCUAUGCUACAGCCGCAGCAACACCAGAUUUGAGCAGUGUCUGCAACCUACACUGAAGCUCACAGCAACACUGGAUCCUUAGCCCACUGAGGGAGGCCAGAGAUCAAACCCACAUCCUCACACACACAGACACCACAUCGGGUUCUUAACCCACUGAGCCAUAAUGGGAACUCCCUCAUUAUCUAAAUAUUUUUUAAAAAUAUCAGAGUACAGGAGUUCCCGUCGUGGCACAGUGGUUAAUGAAUCCGACUAGGAACCAUGAGGUUGUGGGUUCUAUCCCUACCCUUGCUCAGUGGGUUAAGGAUCCGGUGUUGCCGUGAGCUGUGGUGUAGGUUGCAGACGCAGCUCGGAUCCCGUGUUGCUGUGGCUCUGGUGUAGGCCGGCGGCUACAGCUCCAAUUAGACCCCUAGCCUGGAAACCUACAUAUGCCGCGGGAGCUGCCCAAGAAAUGGCAAAAAGACAAAAAAAAAAAAAAAAAAAAAAA
rnacentral:lncRNA from 1 species